rnacentral:rRNA from 1 species
UCUGAAACUGGUGAACGUCAACUUCUGGGAAAUGACUUAAUCAUAGAGGCAGAGGAGAUGUGCAAAGUCAUUCGAGAUAACCUCAAAGCAGCGCAAUCGCGCCAGAAGAGCUACUAUGAUAGUAAGCACCGUGAUUUGGCUUUCGAGAUCGGAGAUCAUGUUUACCUCCGUGUCUCUCCAAUGAAAGGUACUCGUCGCUUCGGUAUCAAAGGGAAGCUUGCCCCUAGAUACGUGGGACCUUUCAAGAUCGUCAGCAAGAGAGGCGAUCUCGUCUAUCAACUCGAGCUUCCUUCAAACUUUGCAAAUGUGCACGACGUGUUCCAUGUCUCUCAGCUCUACAAGUGCUUCAAGACUCCUGACCGCACCGUCAACUUCGAAGACAUUGAGCUCCAAGAAGAUCUCUCUUAUCGUGAGCACCCCAUUGCUAUUCUUGAAGAGACUGAACGCAAGACUCGCAAUAAGUCAAUCAAAUUCCUCAAAGUCAAGUGGUCACACCAUUCCGACUGUGAA